rnacentral:misc_RNA from 4 species
CGGCAUUCUGCAUAAUUGUUUCUGCCAGAUUCGGUUUUUCAGCGAUGCUAAAUUAACUCAUUUGUGUAAAUAACACACACGGAUCGACACAUACACCGGGGUGCUCUCAUGUGGUUCGCUCUUCUAUGAAUAGCUUCGCAGUCAAAGAGUCGGUGUCAUGGGAUCUGUGGAGGCAUAACC